rnacentral:pre_miRNA from 1 species
UAACAUCCGCAGGAUGGCCAGCCCCCAGGCUGGGUCGGGUGAGUAUCUCUUAGAAAGGCUCACCCUUAAGCAUGACUAGGAGC